UACGGAGGGGGCUAGCGUUGCUCGGAAUUACUGGGCGUAAAGGGCGCGUAGGCGGUUUUCAAGUCAGAUGUGAAAUACCUGGCUUAACCUGGGAACGGCAUUGAAACGGGAAGACUAGAGUUCAGAAGAGGAAAGUGGAAUUCCUAGUGUAGAGGUGAAAUUCGUAGAUAUUAGGAGGAACACCAGUGGCGAAGGCGGCUUUCUGGUCUGACACUGACGCUGAGGCGCGAAAGCGUGGGGAGCAAACAGG
rnacentral:rRNA from 1 species